rnacentral:lncRNA from 1 species
CAGUUCAAGCAAAUUCUUUAAGAAUGAAAAUUCAUUUGAUGUUACUGAGAUCGCUUAUUGUUCAUGUUUAUCAACGGCAGACGGUCAUGUUUGUUUUUGGCCAAGAUUGCAAAGUUAUUGAAAAUCAAAUUUCGUGCCACAGCUAUAGCGGCGGGAGCCAAAAGCCGAGUUUUGGUUCGAAUGGUCUAGAAAAGCAUACCUACGUUUCACCUACCUUACAGAGCCACCUUGGGAAUAAUUGUUCCGCCACCCCCUACGAAAAUUUCCUAUGACGACCCAUGGCACCUCCACUACCUCCGCCCUCGCGACAACCCCGGCCACUGCGAAUGAAAGCUUCCUCUCCGAUUGAACAGUAGUGAUGCGAGCGUCUCCAAAACACCCGAUAAGAUAGCGGAUACCCAGGACUAUCGGCUCACGGGCCCGGUGCGGUGUUUAUUUUGAAUUUUUCCAAGACGUCGCGACGACCAAGACGAACACACCUCCGCUCGGAUCCGCGGUAUAGGAGACGAGUGCGUUUCGAGCCCCGGUUUAGUGCCCAUCUCCGCGUGAUAAAUUGUCUCCGCUCAUUAUCCCAUUGUCGAGCCGUUCGGAUCAUCGGAUCCCGGCACUUCGCGAGUCAUCGUUUGGUGCGCUUGCGAAAAAAACUGGCCCAACUUGGUUUUCACGCGACUUUUAGCGCGGAUAGUUCGGUUUUCGAAGUGAUUAAAAAGUCGCGAAUUCCGUUUGAGUUGGAACUUUAUUCGGGCUAACCCCUCAAUCCGAAGUGACAUUUUUUCCCUCGAAGGAUCGCUGUCCGAAGUUGUUAAUCACGUGGAUCUCGAUUUUUGAAGUUAAUUUUGAUCCACGAAUUUGAUGUUCGAGUUCCUUCAAAUGCUUCAGUAUGAAGUGACUUUUGCCUCCUGAAGUGUGGUCGAGAUUUUGAAUCUCUCAACGCAAUAAUUUUGGUUUUGGAGCGAGUUUGAAUCCGCGAAUUGACUCUUUGAGUUGGAAGUUAAUUUGAAAAAAAUAUCUCUCAAUCCAAAGUGACCUUUAUUGUUAAUAUCACAAUUUUAUUAUUUUCGCACUGCUGCAACCUUACCGGUGCAUUAUCGAAACUUCCGAUCGAGUUUAUUUUUCUGAUUUUUAUGAACUUUCAUGUGGACUUCUCGCCUCGGCGACUCUUGUGAUUUUACAAAAAUUUGAUUUGCAAAUUUGACUCUUUCGCCUAUUUUCGUGCCUUAUUUAUACCUUAUAUUUGCGACUUUUCCAUCAAAUUCCUCGCAUUGGAAGUUAUUAUCAAAACUUUUUUCAUUGACACUGAUUCAUCUCGGUAGAUUGACCUACCGAGCUUGUAGGAUAGAAACCACGGACUUCCUCGUUGUCUAAUCUGAAUCAUCUACAAAAAUCUACUUUAUUACGUACAAAGUUACUGGAACCAUUGCUCCAACUGAAGAAGAUUCUAGGACCUCUUUCCUACAGUUUCAUCCUAAAGAU